rnacentral:lncRNA from 1 species
UUUGGGGCGGCAAAGGGCGGCGGUGGUGGCGGGGAGAGGGGGAGGUCGGGGCCGCGGUGGAGGAGGAGAGGGGGGGGAGAAGGAUGAGGGGAGGGGGAGGAGGGGGAGAAGAGGAGGAGGAAAAGGAGACGGGAGAAGCGGAAGCCGAGGGCGAGGCUGACAAGGCAGCAGAGGGCGUGGAGGAGGAGCCAGAAUAGGGCGGUAGGGGAGCGGAGUAACGGCACGUCGGAGGUGGCGGCGCCUCCGUCGAUGGGGGCGGAGGAGGGGGAGCGGAAGCUGUUGGCCCGGCGAAUAGGCUGCAGCGCCGACAGCUUCAUCGUGCCGUCGUCGUGCGCUGUAUCUUCCGAUAGUUUCUCUCCUCGUGGACUCGGGUUCGAAAGAGGGGAACUUCGGGUGGAUUAAGUUGGCCGAGGGAGAAAGAGUUAUUUUCCGGGAGUAGGAGUGGGAAUGGGGUCGCGCGGGGCAGUUUGGGUCGAAGGGAGACUUGGAGAACCCGGGGUCUGGUCGAACCCGGGGAAGAGGGGUCUCGGGUGGCGGAAUUCCGCGGGACACGGUAGGAUGGUAGGGGCCGUUUCGGACAAGGGAUGUGAUUG